UCCCCGGUAGCUCAGUGGUAGAGCGACGCACUGUUAAUGCGUUGGUCGCUGGUUCGAGUCCGGCCCGGGGAGCCA
rnacentral:tRNA from 1 species